rnacentral:misc_RNA from 1 species
AAGGACUUCUAAACAUGUUCAAACGGGAAAUAAACUCACAAAGAGUCAUACAACCUUGAAACUCUAGAAGAUGAAAACAGAUAAACAGGAAGCAAAGAUAACAGACAUUUAAGCAAGGAUGAUCUAAGUCACUUCAGUUUCUACUUCCCAUCCUUUAAAAUGCUGGGAGAAUAAAGUUUCCAGCUCAUAAGAAGAUCAAAGCAUAACACAUGAACACUUGGAAGUUCAUUAUUAAGCCUGCAAGCUUCCAUUCAUGAUCUAAUGCUUAACCAACGACACUAAUCAAAACCCCAGAAACCAUCCUUGCAAUGGCAAGAAUGUAAGCUCUAUGGCAUUGGAUCUACUCGUUCCAUGUCACUGGUUUUGCGAGCUCAUCGUCUGCAGGUUCUGGAGGAUCAAGAUUCAAAUCAAGAAGGGCCAGCUUUAUGCAGUUCUCAUCAUUCGCAUCAAUGUCCAUAGUUCUGGAGGAACUAGCUGAGGUGUCCAGAAAGGUCUUUUGCAGCCUGACUGUGCAUGGAAACAUGACGGUAUUGUAGGUGAUAAGCUUCUGCUUCACCACAUCAUCGAUGGGGCGAAACCCAUAUUUCUCCUGCCACAUAUUGGCAAGCUCCGGGAGUGAUGGGAUGACCAGAUGUUUAACCUCAAUGCAGGAGAAGACGUAUCCAAAAGCAUCAAAUAUCAUUCUUGACAGCCCUUUAAACCUAUAGUGCUCUCGGGUUCCAAUGAAAGGCAUCUCAGCCAAGUCAUUUCUGUGCAUCCUCAUAGUUGCAGCUGAGACGAUUGCAUCAUUCUUCUCUAGAACUAGAGUGUAGAAGCCUUUAAAAUUCAGUCUUGACAAAUUUGAUCUGGAAAGAGAUAAAAAGUGAUCAAUUAUCUCAUCAUAUUUUUCUUUUUGCUUUUUGGAUAAGGAAUUGCUG